GAUGAACACUAGCGGCAGGCCUAACACAUGCAAGUCGAGGGGUAGCAGGAUUAAGCUUGCUUAAUUGCUGACGACCGGCGCACGGGUGCGUAACGCGUAUGCAACCUACCUUAUACUGGGGUAUAGCCCGGAGAAAUUCGGAUUAAUCCCCCAUAGUACUAAUGAAUCGCAUGGUUUAUUAGUUAAAGCAUUGCGGUAUAAGAUGGGCAUGCGUCCUAUUAGCUAGAUGGUGAGGUAACGGCUCACCAUGGCUACGAUAGGUAGGGGGCCUGAGAGGGUGGUCACCCACACGGGUACUGAGACACGGACCAGACUCCUACGGGAGGCAGCAGUGAGGAAUAUUGGUCAAUGGGCGCAAGCCUGAACCAGCCAUGCCGCGUGCAGGAAGAAUGCCCUAUGGGUUGUAAACUGCUUUUAUUUGGGAAUAAACCUCUUUACGUGUAGAGAGCUGAAGGUACCAAAUGAAUAAGCACCGGCUAACUCCGUGCCAGCCGCCGCAGUAA
rnacentral:rRNA from 1 species